AUUGAACGCUGGCGGCAUGCCUUACACAUGCAAGUCGAACGGCAGCACGGGUGCUUGCACCUGGUGGCGAGUGGCGAACGGGUGAGUAAUACAUCGGAACAUGUCCUGUAGUGGGGGAUAGCCCGGCGAAAGCCGGAUUAAUACCGCAUACGAUCUACGGAUGAAAGCGGGGGACCUUCGGGCCUCGCGCUAUAGGGUUGGCCGAUGGCUGAUUAGCUAGUUGGUGGGGUAAAGGCCUACCAAGGCGACGAUCAGUAGCUGGUCUGAGAGGACGACCAGCCACACUGGAACUGAGACACGGCCCAGACUCCUGCGGGAGGCAGCAGUGGGGAAUUUUGGACAGUGGGCGAAAGCCUGAUCCAGCAGUGCCGCGUGUGUGAAGAAGGCCUUCGGGUUGUAAAGCACUUUUGUCCGGAAAGAAAUCCUUGGCCCUAAUACGGUCGGGGGAUGACGGUACCGGAAGAAUAAGCACCGGCUAACUACGUG
rnacentral:rRNA from 1 species